rnacentral:rRNA from 1 species
UACGGAGGGGGCAAGCGUUAUUCGGAAUGAUUGGGCGUAAAGGGCGCGUAGGCGGCUAGAUGUGUCAAAGGUGAAAUCCCUCGGCUCAACUGAGGAACUGCCUUUGAAACUGUCUGGCUUGAGGCCGGGAGAGGGUAGCGGAAUUCCCAGUGUAGCGGUGAAAUGCGUAGAUAUCGAGAGGAACACCUGCGGCGAAGGCGGGUAGCUGGGCCGACACUGACGCUGAGGCGCGAAAGCCAGGGGAGCGAACGGG